AUGUUCUGUUCUUCCUCAGAGUGUAAAGGAGACUCAGUGACGCAGACAGAAGGACAUGUUGUUGCUGCUGAAGGAGAAUCUGUGACUCUGGGAUGUUCUUAUAAAAGCAGUGUAACACCAACAUUGUUCUGGUAUAAACAAGAAGAAAACAGCUUUCCACAGUAUAUGCUGAAACGAGUUUCAUCAGAGGGAGAUAACGCUCCUGAAUUCAGCAAAAACAAAUUUCAGGCAGAGGUCAAGAACUCAGCUUUUAAUCUGACGAUCCAGGAUCUCCGUCUGUCAGACUCUGCUGUGUACUACUGUGCUCUGAAGCCCACAGUGACAGGAAACACCAGAACUCUACUGUAA